rnacentral:misc_RNA from 1 species
AUGACCCGAUAAAAUGGUUUGUUUUUGCAUCCGAAUCUCGAUAAUCGGAUCCUCACCACCAUCUUCUCUACUUUGGGAUUAAUUUCACAAGGAAAUUCGACAGGGUAACAAGUUAGCCUUCGAACUCACUAAAAUGAUAAAAAGGUGAACGACAAUGGUGCGGCUGCUGCAAUCGGAGGAGGGUUCAGGGUUUGUAAGAGGAAUUCGCAAAAUGGAUCAGUGAAAAAUUG